AACGCACCUUGCACCAUAUGAGCAAUUGUAUGGUAUACCUGUUUGAGAAUCGUAAACCUCCUCACUUACUCUCGUAGUAAGUGGAUGUGUCGGCUUAUCAGUGAUGAUAUCCGAUUAAAUACAUUAGGUCUAGAGCAGGCUGGUGGCCUGGGACACUGUGUGCUAGAGACUAGCAGUCUUAACCGACUGGUCUGUCUUCUCACGGUGCGUCCCGGGUCAUUCAAAGCUGGCCUGCAAAGGACCUUAACUGCGCACAGCAGCAUGACCUGCGCGUUAAACCGCGCAUGACACGCCGCGCUGUGGCAACCUUUCUCUUUGAUCUCAAAUCAGGUAAGGCUACCCGCUGAACUUAA
rnacentral:misc_RNA from 1 species